rnacentral:rRNA from 1 species
GUCGAACGCUGGCGGCGUGCUUAACACAUGCAAGUCGAACGAAGUGGCGGACGGGUGAGUAACGCGUAAUCAACCUGCCCUUGAGGGGGGAACAACAGUUGAAAACGACUGCUAAUACCGCAUAGUGAAGGAGGGGUUGGCGUCUGAUUGGCUAGUUGGAGGGGUAACGGCCAACCAAGGAGAUGGUCAGUAGCCGGUCUGGGGGGAUGAACGGCCACAUUGGGACUGGGACACGGCCCAGACUCCCUCGGGAGGCAGCAGUGGGGAAUCUUCCGCAAUGGAGGAAAGUCUGACGGAGCAACGCCGCGUGAGUGAUGACGGCCUUCGGGUUGUAAAGCUCUGUUAAUCGGGACGCGGUACCGGAAUAGAAAGCCACGGCUAACUACGUGCCAGCAGCCGCGGUAAUUC